rnacentral:rRNA from 1 species
CUACGGGCCGCUGCAGUGGGGAAUCUUAGACAAUGGGCGCAAGCCUGAUCUAGCCAUGCCGCGUGAGUGAUGAAGGCCUUAGGGUCGUAAAGCUCUUUCGCUGGGGAAGAUAAUGACGGUACCCAGUAAAGAAACCCCGGCUAACUCCGUGCCAGCAGCCGCGGUGAAUACGGAGGGGAUUAGCGUUGUUCGGAAUUACUGGGCGUAAAGCGCGCGUAGGCGGACUGUUAAGUCGGGGGUGAAAUCCCGGGGCUCAACCCCGGAACGGCCUUCGCUACUGGCAGUCUGGAGUUCGAGAGAGGUGAGUGGAAUUCCGAGUGUAGAGGUGAAAUUCGUAGAUAUUCGGAGGAACACCAGUGGCGAAGGCGGCUCACUGGCUCGAUACUGACGCUGAGGUGCGAAAGUGUGGGGAGCAAACAGGAUUAGAUACCCUCGUAGUC